AAGCAGGAUAAGUUACUAUAUGGCAGUGCAGUGCCAUGUUGUCGUUCCCCCUGCUGAAAUAAAACUUGUUUCCUACUAUCCCUGACUGUUCAUUGUGGCAGGCAGGGACGCUUGGUCUCAAACAG